GACGAACGCUGGCGGCGUGCUUAACACAUGCAAGUCGAACGGAAAGGCCCUGCUUUUGUGGGGUGCUCGAGUGGCGAACGGGUGAGUAACACGUGAGUAACCUGCCCUUGACUUUGGGAUAACUUCAGGAAACUGGGGCUAAUACCGGAUAGGAGCUCCUGCUGCAUGUGGGGGGUUGGAAAGUUUCGGCGGUUGGGGAUGGACUCCGGGCUUACCAGCUUGUUGGUGGGGUAGUGGCUUACCAGGGCUUUGACGGGUAGCCGGCCGGAGAGGGUGACCGGCCACAUUGGGACUGAGAUGCGGCCCAGACUCCUACGGGAGGAAGCAGUGGGGAAUAUUGCACAAUGGGCGGAAGCCUGAUGCAGCAACGCCGCGUGCGGGAUGACGGCCUUCGGGUUGUAAACCGCUUUCGCCUGUGACGAAGCGUGAGUGACGGUAAUGGGUAAAGAAGCACCGGCUAACUACG
rnacentral:rRNA from 1 species